CCUACGGUCGGCAGCAGUGGGGAAUAUUGCACAAUGGGCGAAAGCCUGAUGCAGCAACGCCGCGUGUAGGAAGAAGGGUUUCGGCUCGUAAACUUCUAUCAGCAGGGACGAAAGAAAUGACGGUACCUGAAUAAGAAGCCCAGGCUAACGACGUACCAGCAGCCGCGGUAAUACGUAGGGGGCAAUCGUUAUCCGGAAUUACUGGGGGUAAAGAGUGAGUAGGCGGCAUGGUAAGCCAGAUGUGAAAGCCUUGGGCUUAACCCGAGGAUUGCAUUUGGAACUAUCAAGCUAGAGUACAGGAGAGGAAAGCGGAAUUCCUAGUGUAGCGGUGAAAUGCGUAGAGAUUAGGAAGAAUACCAGUGGCGAAGGCGGCUUUCUGGACUGAAACUGACGCUGAGGCACGAAAGCGUGGGGAGUGAACAGGAUUAGAUACCCGUGUAGUC
rnacentral:rRNA from 1 species